ACGGGAUCCAGGCUUCGGCCUGGUGAGAGUGGCGGACGGGUGAGUAACACGUGGGAACCUGCCUUUUGGUUCGGGAUAACCGCGGGAAACUGCGGCUAAUACCGGAUGCUCCCGAGAGGGGAAAGAUUUAUCGCCAGAAGAGGGGCCCGCGUCCGAUUAGGUAGUUGGUGAGGUAAUGGCUCACCAAGCCGACGAUCGGUAGCUGGUCUGAGAGGAUGAUCAGCCACACUGGGACUGAGAUACGGCCCAGACUCCUACGGGAGGCAGCAGUGGGGAAUAUUGGACAAUGGGGCAACCCUGAUCCAGCAAUGCCGCGUGAGUGAUGAAGGCCUUAGGGUUGUAAAGCUCUUUUGCCAGGGAAGAUGCUGACUGUACCUGGAGAAUAAGCCCCGGCUAACUUCGUGCCAGCAGCCGCGGUAAUACGAAGGGGGCUAGCGUUGUUCGGAAUUACUGGG
rnacentral:rRNA from 1 species